AGUGAAUUUGAAACAAUGGUUCUGAUCCUUAGCAGAAUCACCUAGUAAUGUGCUGGAUGCCUACAACUGGGUCUUAAGACAUUUUUGUGAAUUUCAGACUCUUCCAAACACUGAGCAGGAAGAGCCCGAGAAAAGUAAGCUCACCCUUGCCAUUAGAAUGUGCAGAGGUGAGAGCUAGUCUUCCUGGGACAAGGGCCAGACCAGUCCUGGAAUGUGGCAGCUUCCAUCACGGUGUCCUAUGGAGGCCCCCCUGAGACUGAGAGGAGCCCUGUGCCUGCAGAAGUGUCAGGAAUACACCUUGCACCUUCAGGCAGAGGUCUGGCCCAGCCACGUCUGUGUGCCAGGGCUAACCUAACCUACAGACAUCACUGCCCUCCCCCACCGCACCUGGAAAAGCAGGGGCUCACAAGGGAUUGGCAUGCCAUCUCCAGGCAAAGCCAGGAAAUUCCCGGCAAUGCAAUUUAAGAGGACUUAAAUGGAUUUCCAGGUGCUCCCAAGGGGACCUAAAGAUAGCUCAGUUUCUGGAAGUUCACUGUCAGUGCACAGACCCCAUGAAGACUGCCUGUCCUCUCUGACUGCUGGGCCUGCUCCAUGCUGCUUCCUCUCUUCUUCUGGCAGCAGGAGCUGGGAGAAAGCUGAAGCAGACCAAGACAGGACCAAGAAGUGAAGCAAAGGAGGCAAAAAUGAAGCUCAGUGCAGCUGAACCCCACCCUGGCCUGUGUUCCUGUCCACACGGAACUCCGCACAGUCUGACCUAGCACCCACGACACAGACAGCUGCAGCCAGAGUGAUCGACUGAAGAGAUGGCAGCCCUCAGAGACCUGACAAACGGCGUUGCUGCCCAGAUUCAGAAAUCUGCCCUUCCGGGAGCUGCAUUGUGAGGAUAUGACUAAAGGCUGAACAGUUCUUAUUUUAGGGAUUUUCUUUCUUUUCUCUUUGAACAAAAAGCAGAAUUCAAAAGCUGUUCUGAAAAUUUGAACACUAACCGAAUGUUGGUCAUGUUUAAGGGAUGUUGGUAAUUUUCAGGUUGAAAUAAUGUGGCUAAAUGUAAUGAGCCUGAUUUUUAGAGUCGCACUGGAAUACUGAUAGCAAAGUGAUAUGAUCUGCCUUCCAGGAUUUACUUUAAAAUUGUACAGGAGCGGGGCUGUAGGUGUAGCUCAGUGAUACAGCUCUUGCCUGCAAUGCAAGAGAAAACGAACAACAAAAUACUUCCACGAGAGGCGGCUUGGAGGAGGCUGAUGGUACACUUGAGAGGGACAUGGUGAGUUGCCAGAGCUGGGGUGCUAGGGUUCAUGGUGUUUAAAAUUGUAAUAAAAGUGUUUUCAUGAAAACUGAAGCAAUUUUAACUUAAUGAUUCUGGUCUUCCUGGUUCUUGCCACACAGUAUCUAC
rnacentral:lncRNA from 1 species